rnacentral:rRNA from 1 species
AACGAACGCUGGCGGCAGGCUUAACACAUGCAAGUCGAGCGCCCCGCAAGGGGAGCGGCAGACGGGUGAGUAACGCGUGGGAACGUACCUUUUGGUUCGGAACAACUCCGGGAAACUGGAGCUAAUACCGGAUAAGCCCUAACGGGGAAAGAUUUAUCGCCGAAAGAUCGGCCCGCGUCUGAUUAGCUAGUUGGUGAGGUAACGGCUCACCAAGGCGACGAUCAGUAGCUGGUCUGAGAGGAUGAUCAGCCACACUGGGACUGAGACACGGCCCAGACUCCUACGGGAGGCAGCAGUGGGGAAUAUUGGACAAUGGGCGCAAGCCUGAUCCAGCCAUGCCGCGUGAGUGAUGAAGGCCUUAGGGUUGUAAAGCUCUUUUGUCCGGGAAGAUAAUGACUGUACCGGAAGAAUGAGCCCCGGCUAACUUCGUG